UGAAUUUAAUGUCUUAUAACUGGGGUUUUUUUGUCUCUUUUUUUGUGUGUAAUCUCUAUAAAACUCCUGUGUAAACUCCCUGUUACAUGAAAGUGCCAAACUCAGAUGGGGCUGAGCUGCUGCUUCAAGAAUGGACUUGCUGUUCUGAAACCAGCUGAAUUGCCAGGACUGCUGUGAACAACAGGCACUUUGGGAGUAACAGAGACCCAUUACAAGCCUGACCAUUUGUUUUACCCAGUUUUAUCCCCCUCUCUCUGUAGAUCAGCAAUCCUUUCAAGACAAUGCCGCAAUAGCACAAUGAGAUCAUAGUUUGUAUGACAUAAUUGGGAAAAAUCUAAAAAUUACGAACUUAAUUCUGCCACCUGCCACCAGCAUCGUUGCAUUAAUUAACCAUUUAUCGCAAAGCUGCAGGGCCAAGUCCUUUCUUUUCUAAGUAAGCAUGAAUAGAUCUGCAGUCUUAAAUGGUUUUUUCUUUACAGAUAAUGUUGCUCCAAGAACUAAUGUCCACAGGGAUGAUUCCAGCCCAGGGGACAGAAGAGGGAGAACAGCUCAGCAAACCAGAGACAGCUUGAUACUGUAUAGUGGGAGGAAAAAAAAGAACACACCACUCUGUCUGUUUUGGCUUCCUACCUGUUCAUUCUGCUCAUAAUAUCCAUUUGAAAAGCACCCCAGUCAUGCCUCUGCUGAUUUGGAUGCUGGUUUGCUGUGUGUUGUAUCAGGAAGUCUCAGCACUGCUGUCAUCUGAUCUGUGCUUCCUGGCUUUUCACCGUCUCAGAAAGCAUUCCCUGGACAAAGUGCUUUCUGGAACAAGCCUCCUGUGCCUCGUGGGAUAAAGAUCAGCAGCAGCAGCCCAGAUAUGGUUGAAAUGAAUGAGAGUUCAGCUCCAUACAACAGAGCAGGAAUUUCAGCUGAAUUCCUCCCAGUACCACUGCUUUUCAUAUGCUAAAAUGAAUAGAUUGGAUUCAAACAGGAGAGCUGGGCUGAGUGACUAACCCUGGCUCUGCACCCACACGCUGAUGUCAGGAGAGCAGCCAGCAGCUCCGUGACUCUCCUCGUCUCUGUGCGCGCGUCAGCCACAACAGUGGCAAACCCAACAAUGGGCAAGGAAGCAAUCAAAGGAAAACCCAACUUCAGACUAGGAGCAACUGAUGUAAAAUGGGAUGUGUAACUCUCAUUUCCAGUGAAAGGAAUCAUCAAUAUUAGCUCAGUCGUUUUAAAACAAAUGAAUCAUUAGAUGACAAAACCCAUAAAUUGAUUCAUAAACAGCUGUCAUCUUAAUAUAAAAACUCUGAGAUUAAUCUGAAAAAUUGCAAUUCAAUUGUGAAUGGAAAUAACAGCUAAAAUCCAGCGUUCAUCUUGGCCGGGAUGAAUUUUACAGAAUAAACUUCAGAGUACACUUCUGAGUUCUGUCCAUCCUUGCGUGUAUAAUAUGUGUGAGCAAACAGAUGCACUAAAAAUGCUGUCUGGCCACCUGGAUUUCGGUUAAUUCAUUAGUAUCAUUAAUUGCAAUGACUUUGACUUGCUGGUCUUUGAGGGGAAGGCUUCUCUCAUUGUUUGCUUGCAGAGUUUUUUGUUGUUUUUCCAAGGUACUUGUUGGCUGUGGUGCAAUGACUCAAGACGUGCGAUUAGUCAGAAUGAGCCCUCAAUACUUAUGGCAAUAAAGUUUGGCACAUAUAUUUUUGUCUUUUUCCCUGCAGUGAAGCACUCCUAGAUGAGGCAUGGGUUUGGGAUUGGUUGCACUUGCUGAGGUAAUCGAUGCCAUGAUGCCUUCUUUGAAGAAGACUGCAGAGGUUUGUAAUUUGAGUUUUGUGAUAGGCAGGUGAUGGACAGUCUGAUGGGACUCAGGGAGACCUGCCACCCUGCCAGGGAGCAAAAUGGGGAGCUCGGAACUACUGUGAGAUGGGGAAGUCCUAGGGGAAAGGAAAAUGAAGGAGCCUAUGGAAAAAAUAAGCUAUAGGGUUAUGAGGAUUGGCUGAGGAAGGAGAACAUGGGCUUUGAAUUUCAAGAAAGGAGGCAGAGAUUAAGAAACAGUGGGGAAAGGAAACACAGCUUUGGAGCACAUGGCUAGGAGCCAUAGUGAGAUACAAAGGAAAAGCAGUACAGAGGACAGAGCUUGGCAUGAGGAGCUGGGGAAAGAUUUAGAAACAGGCCAGGAACCUGUGCCUGACAGCAGGGGAAGGGAAAAGAACAGGGUGGGGACAAAGGAUGAGGAGAGGAGACGAGACAAGCUGGGGGUGGAGGGUGGGGCAGCCAAGAGAAAGGAAGAUGAGUCUGUGCCUAUUUCAGUGUCCUCCUGGUUCUCACUCCUGGGUCUGGCAUUACACAGUGUUUCCCUUCAUCUGCUGUCAGAAGACACUGACAUCCCCUGAUAAGGUGCACACAUUGACUCCCACACAGCAGACAACCUGCCACAGGGGACAGCCUUUGACUGUUUGGGACACAGAGUCACUGUGGCCUGUGGCACAGCCAGUGGGCCCAGCUUUAUCUCCAGUGUCAGCUGACAGCCCCCACAGGGGAUGGCAGGGAAUUUGUGAGUGUUAGAUCAACAACGUGAACUGCCCACAAAGGUUUCAGAGCAAACAUUCAGACUUGUAAUGACAUCAGUAACUCUUGCCUUUCACUCUCAAGUCCCUGCUGCUUGGAGUUUGCACCUUCAGAAUUCUUUUUAAGGUACAGCUGGUUUUCCCCUAGAAAAGUCUUCCCAAAUACCAUGUGAAGUAUGCAAUGGGUGGAAUUCAUGGCAGUAUGAGUUCAGCAGUUAAACAAGGCAGAGGUCAGUAGCUGGCCACAUUAAUGUCAGAGUGAACUUCCUCUUUAGCAUUUGCUGGGGGAGCUUGGAGCAGGUAAUGCAGCUUUUAGAGAGAGAAUCAAUCAAGACUGCAGUUGAUAAAAGUAAUUAAGGUGUAACAAUGUGGCUUAUGCAGGCAUUCAUUCUCUAUUUUUUCCUGAGGAGGAAAAGGAUAUAAAUUAAAUAGUGAUUCUUAUGUAAUGAAUAUUGCUUUUGCAUAAAAGGAGGCAAAACACUGAGCAAUUUAACCUCCCAGAUGCUUGGAAGUUAAUAAUUGCAGGUCAGCUUUGAGAUAAUAGCCUGGGCAGUGUUGUGAAAGUCAUUUUCUGGCAGAUGGGGACAGAUUCCAUUUUGGCAUGUGGACAGUGGAUUACAGUCCUUUAACCACCACGAAGAGCUGUGCUAAGCUCUGGUCCCUCCAAAAAACAAGCAAGAUUUCACAAGAGCCAGCUGGCUUCAGUUGCACUUACAGUACUUGUAACUUCAUAUAUCGUGGGAGAUGCAGUCAUGGUGAACUUAAAGACAUAUAGGGAUGGUUUCCUAGCUGAGAAAGGGGGGGAUUGCAGAACGUGUCUGUCCCAAGCUGGUCACUGCAUGGAUGGAUGCAUUGGGGUGUGGUGGAGCUAUAACUGCAUCCACCCCGGCACUGAACACUGCCUCAGGCUCAUUUGGGAGAGUUCUCCCUCCCUAGAAAUAAAAGCUAACGCAGCACAAGGGACCACAUAAUUUCUUUGCACUUCCAAGGGCAUUCCAGGGCUUGCUUUCCUUUCUCAGAUGCUGCUGUGCCGAUACCCUGUACAGGGAGCUGUCUGUGCAAGGGCUUCACGUGUUCACUUGUGCCACUGGAACUCUCUCUGUGUUCUGCAUGUGAUGCUUGGUCUGUGACCUGCUGCUGCAGGGUGUUAUGCUCUGGGGAACCCUUCAGUGGGGCCUAGGUUUGAGGAUCCAUGGAAACAGUCCUGAAACAAAAAGAAAACAAAUGGGAGAGUUAUGACAUUCCUUCUGGAAUACUAUCAGCACAGAUUGUUUCUGAGAGAGGGCUUUGGGGUUGUUUCUUUAUUCUUUAUUUAUUGGUUGUUUUCCACCUGCCAGCUAAUACAUCCUACAGAAAUGACGCAGAGCAAGAUUUUGGUUGUUGAGUGGUAGAAAUUAAAUUCAUGAUGUAGUAAAAUAUUUUUUUUUCCUUGUAAUGUCCGGCUGAUCUCAUCUCUACUUGCCCUUCAGUGUGACAUGAUGAAAGCUGCAUGAUGUGGUAACUGUUGUUCCCUGGGAAUAGUCUGUCUUUGCUGUAUUCCUCCAUGAGGUUACUUUGGAUUUUUACUAUAAUAUACAAGGGAAUGGAAAGAGUAUUUUCCUCACUUCCACCUAUAUUUCUAUUUCCAGCUGCAGUCCUGUGAAUAAUGUAACAUUCUCCAGAAUUAACCCAUGUGGAAGUUAUGCAUUCUAUGACUUGUAUAAGAUUCUAAUUUAAAAGAGGAUAAAGAUAAAUCUAUAACAAAACUUUCAUUAUUUUAUGAUCACUUGCUAGGAGAGACAGUUAAAGAGACAUUUUUGACUUGCUAGGGGUUUGUAGUUGAUGUGGAAAUAUUUAGAGUUAAAAUUAUUGCAGGCAGACUUGUUGCAAGCAGCCCUCCCUGCUUGAGCAGGGGUUGGACCAGAUGUGCAGAGGUGCUUUCCAACCUUAACUAUUCUGUGUUUAUGUGAAGAUCCACUUCCUAAUGAUUUGUGUGUGCUCUGAUCAAAGGGGAUAAUGGGUUUCUGAAAUGACAACAACCACACAGGCAGGCACUGGCUCUAUCUGCCCCACAAACACUGAUUUUCCCCCAAACACAGGGAAAACACUCCCUCUAAGCUCUGAAUACGUGUUCGAGCACUUCCAGUGCAAAAGCAGUUGCUUUACCCUGUAGCAAUACAACAAAAUGUGUCUUGAGUCCUGAGCAGGAGCCAAACUUCUUUGGGACACUUUUUGAUACCCUUCCAGUGACAUGGGAUCAGGAGAGAGAAAUAACUAAAUUAUGAUCUUACGGUUACAAUCCAAUGCUAUGAGAAAGAGAUGUGAUUUUAUGAUUGUUCCCGUUAAGGAAUCUCUCAACAAAUCUGGAUUUCUUUGAAAUCCAAUAUUAACUGAAAUUGUUUGAGUUCAUGGUGUUUGAUUGCAGAGUAUUUUUGAAUUUUUUAAGAUUUUAUUUUUAAUGUAUAUCAUCAGUCUUUAUACUGAUGUUGUUUCUUUUCUUACCCUGGAGUAAUUUUGCUAAUUUAGAUGUAUUGCUCUAUGUGAUGUUGAUAGAGAGAGAGGGGGUGUGUAUACAUGUGUUUGUAUGUACAUUAGAGAGAAGGAGAGGGGUGAUUUUGCUAAUUCUAAACUCUAACCUCCAUAAAUAUUUGUACUUAAGACAUUAUUUCUCAUUUCUCAUCAGCUGAGGUCACUACUCCAUCUCUUAGACUUGCAACAGCUGCCAGUCCUUCUAGACAGUUCAGAUCUUUUUCCAAGUUCAAUUAUUCUAGACUACAGAAAAUUUGAUUUACUUCCAAUUUGGACCUCACUGGAUUGUUUGUUCUCUUAUUUUCAGCCAUGCAGGGCUGUUGUGUUUCCAACAUUUGUAAAUACAACCCAAAACAAAGUUUUGCCCAUCUGUGGCAUUCUCAGAUUAAGCAUAUAUUGAGAAAAUUUUAUUUAGAAAGACAUAAACAAGUCCACUGGUGCUUUAGAGGAAUAAAGUAUCCUUUGAACUGGAAUGGAGACUGUAAGAGGUUUGUAAUAGGGAGGAGAUUAUUUUUUCUAUUGUUGAUGUAAUGUGUUUCUACUAUUUGCACCAGAAAAAGAAAAAAUGAGGAGGGAAGAAAUAAGGUUUUGUUUACAAGAAAUAUUGAUGAAGGGUCUUAAAGUCUUCAGGAAGGUAAAUGAAAAGCUGAACUUCUGUUACAGGUGUUUUUAAAAAAGUCACCAUGCAAGAAGAUUUUCCCAGGCACUUAUCCAUAUGUACUUCACGCAGAGUAACUUUACCUCAAAACUGCAUCUACAAAAGUAGGUGAGCAAAAACUGAAGCUGCUUUCUACAGUAACCAAUAUUUAGAAGGGAAAUUCAGUUAUAGCCAGAUUUGUGGCUGUUUCCAUCAUACAAGGCAGGAAUCUUCCUCCCAAAUUUAAACGCAAGCGGUUAAAGUACUUCAAGUUUUUUACAUUUCCUGUGACAAAUGAGUGUGAGAAUUUGUGGGAGACCUUUGGUGUCAACAUGUGCUGGAGAAAGGAGAUGGACGAUUUUUUCCACUAUUAGCUGAGCACUAGACAACACAGGAACAGCUUCAGAAGGGACACAGCUUAUCCAUCUCUUUUUGGCUAAUUGCUUCUUGGAUAUGCACCAAAGAGAGGGAUUGGGAAGCCAAGAGCCCCAGGGAGUGGGGAAUCUCUGUGUGGAGCGGAGGCCUGGGCUGAUGUUCCAUUUCCAGCAGCUGGAAGCGUUCCCUGCUGCCACAGUGACACAAACCACCCGCUGAGGUGUCCACAUGGUGGGAAGAUGAAUGAGCCUGAGUAUUCCUGGGUAUCUUUGCUUUCCUGUAGUUCUGAUUGCUUUUCAAAAGUGAGGGUUUUUUUCUGUUUGUUUGAUUUUAAUUCUAUAGUAAGUGCUUUUCAAACACUAGUUUCAUUAUUCCAGUGUGAGCAAACUGGGGAUGUCAUCCUCAUAAACUAUCAAGGACAUAUGGCUGAAACCCCUUGAAAAGCAGCUUCUGUGAGAAGGGAUUGACAUUUCUUGGGCUCGUCAUAUGCAAGGCUGGAAAGCUGGGAAAGUUGUUGCCCCUUGGAUCAAAAUCCAAAAACUGAUAGAUGGACCUGAUGGAAUUUUUUACUCUUCAUUUAAAAUAUCACAAAAAAUACUCUUGGAUUUUUCAGGGUUGUCCUGUAACCAUACUAACAAUAUAAUUUAGGUUUGAAUUGUGUUUACUUUGGAAUUUUUCCCCAGAUUCUCAGUUCUUGCUGAGAGUCUCUAGAAGUUUAAGAAUUAUAUAUUGAAUAAAUGAGAUGAUUGGAUGAGCA